rnacentral:lncRNA from 1 species
UCAGCCAUCAUCCACGCAACCUCUCACGACGACUCAUCCGUCGACUACCACCAUGCUCACCGUGUCUACAAAUGGAUCCGCUCCUCUCCAGCAAACCUCAAGCCUCUUGUCCACUCGCUUUCCUCACGUGUUAACCGGACAAGAAGCUGGAUCGUUGCCUUGAAAGCCCUAAUGCUCGUCCACGGUGUCCUUUGCUGCAAAGUCCCGUCCCUACAAGAGAUGCGUCGCCUCCCUUUCGACCUCUCUGACUUCUCGGACGGUCAUUCACGUCCCAGCAAGACUUGGGGCUUCAACGCAUUAAUACGAGCCUACUUCUCGUUUCUUGACCAGUACUCUUUCUUUUUAUCCGACCAAAUCCGUUCCCGGACUAGAAAACCUCAGGUAGAUUCUGUUAACCAAGAGCUCGAAAGCAUCGAGAAGCUUCAGUCUCUUCUCCAUACGCUUCUCCAAAUACGUCCAAUGGCUGACAACAUGAAUAAGACGCUUAUUCUUGAAGCUAUGGACUGCGUAGUGAUUGAGAUCUUCGACAUAUAUGGUAAAAUCUGUAGCGGUAUAGCCAAACUACUAAUUAAAAUCAGUCCAGCUGCUGGAAAAGCAGAAGCUGUGAUGGCUCUUAAGAUUGUAAAGAAGGCUACAUCUCAAGGAGAAGACCUAGCUCUCUACUUUGAGUUUUGCAAAAAGUUUGGGGUCUCAAACGCGCAUGAAGUCCCAAAGUUCGUCAGAAUUCCACAAGAAAACAUUGAAGCAAUGGAGAAAGCCAUUAAAGGAGUUGAACAGAAAGAGGAGACAAGAGAGGAUCACGAGGAGGAAGUAGUGGAAGAAAAGAGUACCAUAUUAGUAGCUGAGAGGCCUCAGUUGAAGACAAUCAUAACCGAUAAAUGGGAGGUUUUUGAAGACGACUAUAGUUUCACAUGUAAGGAUAAUAUUAAAGAAACUGAUCAACCUAGAAACUACAACGUGGAUCCCAGUUUGUUGCCUCUUAUAGUUAUCGAUGAGCCAAUUUACUUGACUCACACGUUACCUGAUUUGAUUACCUUCUAAUUGCAACUUGAUCAGUUUUUUUUUUUUUUUAAAUUACUUUGUUUUUCUUCUGUAUUUUCUUCCUUUUUGUUGAAUAUGCGGAUGAUAAUUAAUAAACGUUAGAUAUUAUCUCAAAAUUUCCAAAUUUAUUCAGCAAUAAAAAGGUUUUUAAGAUUUAGCUUAUGCAGACUUAAUCGUUUGUGACCGUCUUAAACCCGAUCAAUUGUUUUUGUAACAGACCUUUAAUGUACAGUGUACCAAAAAGUAAUAAUAGAUUUACUAACAUCUGUGUUUGAAAAAAAAAGAUUCGCUAACAUCUAUAAUAUGUUGUUAGAACGUCAAAGCGAUAGCAGACUUGAGCAAAGUUUGCUCCAAGUCUACACUAGUCAUAUUAGACCUUUAACUUCUAAAUAAUGUCUUUAAAUUUAUAGUAGACUUGCUUUAAAUACGGUAGAAUGGAUCAAGAAGAAAAACUUGUAAGGACCAAGCAGUAGACGAGAUUGACAUUGUUGUAAUGCCAGGAUUAAGAUGUGUUUCAGUAAAAGAUUGGGCGAUAAUUUGAUAUUCUACAAACACUAAAAGCAACAAAACUUUGACCCAAAGUGAAAACCCAAAACCACAGAGAACAAGCAGAGUUGAUCAAAAUCUUGGUUUUUUUUUAGGAAGUUUCAACGUCUGAGAGAUCCAAACGUUCUCGGUAAAGCUCAAAGUCACAAGGGCUCCACCUGCAGACUAAGUUGAGUUUGAACGUAGCCAACUUGAUUCCCAGCAGACGCUGCAAUUAUUAUAUAAACAAAGUAUAUGAGCAAAUUUUAUGAAAACAAACAAAAGGAAAUGAUUUUAAAAUACAAAUUUUUAUUUACCAAAAUGCGGGAAGAUUCUGGCGAAAGAGGCUUUCCUUCUUCACAAACUACAAAGUCGGAUAGUAACUCAACCGUACCUAGAUAAUGUAUCUUUCAAACUAUUAUGUAUAGAAGAGAGAGGGAGACUAAAAGUGGCAAGAUUACAAACCUUUGUUGAGACGAACAGGCAUACCCUGCUUCCUUAGAAACGGUUCCAUCUCAUGUGUGAACUGUUCUAGAGGACCUUCCUUCAGUUCAACCUGACCAAUCAAUUGUACUAAAACACCAGUCAAGCUUGUUUGUUUAUCUAGAGACAACAAUAAAUAAAAUUGGCACUAGUUGUAAUCACAAACCGUUUCUACUGCAGUGCUACCAGUCCUUGAAAAGUCAGAAUCCUUGUAAGCGUUAAAUAAGCUACAAAGAUAACCAGAAGAGAUGGAUACAGUGUAAGCCCUUCAACUUGUUUCUCUCGUAUAAGGGCUUCAGAGAGAAAGAUGAUACCUUUCGACCUCUUCCUUUGGCAUAUCCGUAACAAGAAGUCCAGCAUCACCAUGAAGCAGCUGAAAAAAACAUUCCACAACAUAUGUAAAAAUAACAAAAAAUAAAAUACCAAGUAAUAUAAAACAACUACUGUCAAAAAGAAGGGUACACAAACCUUGGAGGCUUUAAAGAUGCCAGGACGGAUUUCAUCAGAAGCCGAACGACCGAGAGCAACCUGCAUGACUUUGUUCGAACCAAGGAAGAACCUGAACCAAUAAGAAGAACCAAAUGAUAUAUAAUCCCAGUUACGUGUAAGCAACACCCAUCUAUUCAUGACUACAGAAACAAAGAGACUGACCUUCCAUUGUGCCUAAACUGUUGUCUGAACUCCUUGAAUUUGAUGUUUCUCAUGUUUUCAAAGGAGAAAACAUAGACAGACGAAUAUUUCUCGACAGCCUCUCUGAUUCCAUUUACAAUAGACUCCUUGUGCUCCCUUCCUUUCUUCUUUGUCUUAGACAAAGUAACUGCACCAACAACAAAAACAAAACUUUUGAACCAUUCAUCACUUGAUUCCACCAUAUAAGCAAAGAUUUAGGUUUUCCAGAAAAGGGUUCCUCUAAGAACCUUAGAAAACCUAAACCCUUGACGGCGGCUACAACUCACAACUCCCCAGCUCAGUAUCGUUUUCAGACAACAGAACCAUGAAAGAAUCAAGGAAGAAAGAGUUCUGACCUGGCCUGUCUCGCUUUGAUUUAGGCAUAUCUUCUAGGGUUUCAGAUGGGAGUUGCUUUGACGCAUCUCAGAUCCCACAACAAAUUCUAAAUACAAACACGAACGAGAUCACCAUACAUACAAUACACGCAGAGAAUGGAGACAAAAGGACAACGAAAUCAACGGCAAUUGUGGCCCCUAUCAUAUAGAUGAAUAUAUAACCACGACCAUGAAACUUAAACAGUGGAGAAUUGAGGGAGCGAAGGAAUGUUAGGGUUACGAUUCCGGCGAUAAGCACCUUUGACGGCCUCUCUCCUGACUUACGUGUAGUGGAAGAUAGAGCAUCUCACCGCCACGCGCCUAUCCUUUUAAUGCUUUAAGGCCCGUUAAGGGUAUGGGCCAAGGAUUUAUGUUAAUGCAAUCGAGGAUUAGCAUAAUUAGACAUCUCAAGUAGGGGUCGACAUUGUUUGGUACACACUCUUCCUAACUUGUAUUUUUUUUUUUUUUUGGUAACUCUGAUAUCUGGACAGCCACAUUCUCGACUAUGCCCUCGUAAAGGGUCCAGCGCCCCAACGGAAGGGAUGUUAAAUCCGUUGUGGCCAAGGCUCGAACCCGGGUGGCGGACAGUACAGCUGUACUUCCUUUACCACCAAGCUUCGAGCGCUUGGUUUCCUAACUUGUAUUUGGUAAUAAUACAUGAGAAAUCAUCACAAAAACUACGAGAAUCAAAUGUGUAUAUAAAACAUAUAAAAUAAACAUAAAAAACAAAAGUAAUUAACCAAUAGUAUAUAAAACACUACGUACACAAACAAGAUAUCGAAACGGUUUGAACAUCUAUAUAUAAAAUAAUCACUGAGCAACACUCAUAGUAUUAAAUUUACUUAUAUCUAAACAUAAUGUUUUCUUUCUUGACAACAUAUUUGAAAAUUAAGUUUGAAUUGUAGUAAGGCAAUUUGAAAGACUAGUCAAGUUUUAGUCAAUGUUACGGAAGAACGCAAAAUUGGAACUUCAAAGAUAAUGCUAAUUUUUCUUGUAGUCUUUUUAAAUAAAGAUAUGUUGGUGUCACAGAAUCAAAAUUAAAAAUCUCUAUAAUUGUCGUGUGUAUAUACGUGCUGACGUAUGACGUUGACCGACUGUCCUAUUAACAGCUCAAGUAUUCUAGAAAAAAUUACUCCUAGAGACACUUUAUGAGUUUCCAAUUACACUUAGAGACACAUUGAACUUACCACACACAUUUCGUGUGUCUAAAGACAUUAACACUCUUUAACUAGACCAAACUUCACUUCUCAUUCUUUUUCUCUCGUAACUCAUUAUCAAACCUGACAAGUUCAUCUUUUUUUCCUAACUCAAUUAUACUUUCUUAAAUAUUCAAACCCUAAUACUGAGAGUUUAAAAAAAAAUCAAGAGAGGAUCGAUGGGUGUGAUGAUGAGACCAGAGCUUGUAAUGAAAUCAAUCGUGGAUGAGCUCAUGAAUCGCUGUGGAUGAGCUCUGGAUUCAUCGUGGGCGAGCUCGGGAUCCGCCGUGGGUGAGCUCGGAAUUCAGCGACCGUUUCACCGCGCCAAUCUCUAUUCCUAGAAAAACUCCAGAUUUGCUAAUCGUCUCACACGAUGUUUGCUUUUAUGGUGUGUUGUAGUAGAAUCAAUCGUUACGGUUUCGAUUCAAAAAGUCAGAUUUAGAACUCAAGUACCAAAUUCAUUUCCGUCUUCAUCAUGGGUAACAUCUAAAGAUUCAAAAUUUUGGUUUGGUGUGAAUCAGAAGAAGACUCUCUUGGUCAAUGUGUGUGUGGAUAUUGUUGAUGUGGUCGGAAAAGUUGUGGAUGAGGAUCAGUGGCUCUCUUGGUCAAUGUGUGUGUGGAUAUUAUUGAUGUGGUUGGAAGAGUUCUGGAUGAAGAUCUCGUUGUCAGUGGUUGUGUUGAUGUUGUUGAUGUGACCGGAAGAGUUGCGGAUGGGGCUCUCGGUGGUGGAUACGAAAGUGGUAAUAGAGGGAGAAGAGAUACUGGAGGUGGUGAUUAAUGUAAGUGAUGGUAGCUCGCUUGGUCAAUGUGUGUGUGGAUGUUGUUGAUGUGGUCGGAAGAGUUGUGGACGGGGAUCUCAUGGUUGUGUGUGUGGAUGUUGUUGAUGUGGUCGGAAGAGUUGUGGACGAGGAUUUCAUGGUCAGUGGUUCUGUUGAUGUUGUUGAUGUGACCGAAAGAGUUGCAGAUGGAGCUCUCGGUGAUGGAUACGAAAGUGGUAAGAGAGAUGGAGGAGAUAGUGGAAGUAGUGAUUCAAACAGAGGUGGUAAUUAAAACGAAAGUGGUAACGUAGGUGGAGAAGAUAGUGGAGGAAGUGACGAUAGCAGAUAUGAAGAUGAUGAUGGAGGUGGUGAUUGAAGGGGGGAUAGUGAUAAUGAAGGUGGAGGAAAGAGACAUUGGUUCAGUCCAGAGAAGAAACUAAAAAAAAUUAAAAAAACAACUCUUGGAUCAAAAAAAAAAACUUUUCUAAUUGUGUGGUCCAUAAACAAUUCACUUUAUCACAUAUAUAUAGUUACAACAUACUUCUCUUUAGACAAAAGCAGGGUUAACUCUCUCAGUAUUCUACAUAGAACUGAAAAUAAGAAACUGCAUAAGGAAUGCAUGGUUUUCAGAGCACCCUUAUCGGGGUAUGUUAAUGCUGUCUCUUAUGUUUAAUAGGGUUUAAAAAAAAAAUAAGAAAAUUGGGAGAAGACGUAUCUUAAAUAAGGGAAACAAGAGACGCGUAUUCUGAGACACAUGUUGUGUUUUGCGGGGUUUGUGUGUUUCUCUCUCUCGACGAAGCGUCUCCGUGUCUCUCUCCCCCGCUCCAUUUCGAUGAAAUCACCGCGCCUCUCUGUCUCUCCUCGACGAUUCCGCCUGCGAUUUCUUCAUCUUCGAUCGAUCGGAUGAAGGAUGUGGCGUCUCUCUCUCUCUCGUCAGGAACCUAACUGGAUCUUCAUCGGUAGGUUGGGGAGGUGGUGUUGAUCAUGCUAGUGAAUCGACAGCUAGUGGUAAUAAGCAUGGUUGGCAAUGGUACGAGGAUCCUAGGCUGGAUUGUCUCGGUUACAGAAGCAUCUUUCCUUCAGAUGCAACUCGUAAGGUUCUUGAUCGAAUCAAAGCUUUAGCUCUUUGGCUUUUUAUGCUGAUUUGACUUUGUUUUAUGUUUUGAAGCGCCAUUGUUUGAGGCUGAUAAAGAAACUGAUGAAAGCAAUUACCUUUUGUGGAGGUUAGAGCACGGGCCUGUGAUUGAUGCUGGUGGUAUCUUUGCGUAUGCAAGGAAAGCUGGGAUGAUUCCUUCUGCAGCUGCUUGAUUGAUUUCUUCGUGUCAGGUAUGAGAGAUGAAGAUUGUUAAUUUGUGGAAUGUGAUUGAAUAGUAUAGUACUCUUAGGAGCUUGAUGAUGAUGCAAAAAUCAUAGUUUUUUACCCCUUUUCUUGUUGCGAUAAUAGAGUGGUAAAGAUUCUGGUGUAGUUAGGCUCUGUUAGAUGAACAGUGUCAUCGUCAUCUUUCAUCAUGUUCUUUGUUAUGUAGUUAAAAGUGGUGUACGAGAGAUGAGCUUGAGUAGAUUGAUGCAAAAGGAUAGGUUUAGAUGAUGUUGUGUGAGGAUGAUAGUGACUGGUUAUAUACCUGAUGCUCAAGGGUAACUCCGACGUCGAAGGAGUUGUUACGUUGACUCAAGAAGACACAAGUCCCUUCUCAAUUUGCUCAUAUUGAUUCUAAUGUGUGUUAGGUCACUGCUUAGUGUUUGCAUCAUAUCUAAUUCUCAAUUUCACCAUCCUGUUCUUGCAAUCCGUGGUCAUAGGAGAGUUUUGAGUACUGGAAUUCUUUCCACCCGAUGACCGUUUAUGGUGAUGGGAAACAAACUUGAAGCUUUCAGUAUGUUUCUGACUUGGUAAAUAGAACAACUCUGUUUCAGUUCAUUCUGAUGUAUGAUUGGUUUCUCCAACAGUGUAAAAGAAUAUAAUGCAUAUAUAUAACAAGUUAUCUCUUAUCUAGGUGGAGGGACUUUUGCGUUAAUGGAAAACGAUCACGUAGGACCUUUCAAUCUUGGCAACCCAGGGGAAUUCACAAUGCUUGAGCUUGCCGAGGUUUGCUUUACUUUUACAGUCCGUUUUUUUUGUUUGGUUUGUGCUUCGGUUUUGGAUUGGUUUAAGAACUUCUUUUGAUUUUGUUUUGUGUCCAUCUUUAGAAACUUGCAUCAAGAUUUGAAAUGUUCUUUUGAACUCAGUUUUAGGAAACGAUGGUUUUCACAAGAAGAAUGUAAUGAAAGUGUGAUGAAAGCUCUUUUAACCAAAUAUUUUCUUAAGAACCCUAAAAUAGAAGACUUGGAAUGGAGGACAUAAAAAUUGAAAGUUCUUAACAAAGUCUCUUAACCAAAUUUACUCCUUAAAUACUAUUAAAAAUUAAUUAAGAGACCCUUAAUGAGUCUCUAGGAUAAUGAUGCUCUCAAGUGUUAGUGUUGUAUAGAAUGAAUAAGAAAAUACGUAACGAAUGCAUAGUUUUCAUUUUAAUAAGUGGUCGACGCUCACUGAAAACGCUCCGAGUUGGGAGUUGGGACGCUAAUAUGUAUUUUAAAAACUUUUUGGUUAGAAUCCCUCGUCGGAAGUGUUUUUAUUGGUUUAGAAAACUUUUAAAAUUAUUUUAGAAUUAUGAAACAAUAUUUUCUAAAUAACUAGAUUUUAUAAUUAAAUUUAAACAACAGAUAAUUUCUACCAAUCAUAAAUGCACAUUUGGAGGAAGGGUCAGGCAGCUCAACACUGUUGGGGAUUCUAGGGCAAUUUUUUUUUUUUACUCUGUAAAAUUUAUAUGCCGAUAAUGUUUAAAAUAUUUUUAAAAUGUAAUCAAUAAUAUUUUAUAUAUUUUGUAAUGAAAAUAAAAUUAUAUACAUAUCAAAUUAUUUUGGGUCCUUUUCAGUUUUAUUUAUUAUAUUUAUAAUUUUUAUAUAUAAAAAUAUAAAUUUUUUAAAAAAUUAGAUCCCUUAAUUAGUAUUAUACGGGGGGACAUAGGCUUGGAUCCGGGGCGGUCGCACCGCUUGGAUCCGGGGCGGUCGCACCGCUUGUAUUAAUUAAGAUUUAAAUUUCAACUUGUUAAAAUAAAAAUUUGUAAGCUGAACGACUAGUAAAAGCCUGCCCGGAGAAUGUUUUUGACAUUGAAGACAUGGGCAAUGGUAAAAGUAAAAUCCUUCCUUUAAACAAUAGGAGAGGAUGAUGACUUUGGCUGCAACCACUAUCUCUCACUCUCUGCUGUUGGAUUAUCCUAACUGACUUUGCGGAAAUGGAACACAGGUAGGAAGAGGGCAACAGUAGCACGGCCACGUGAUUGCACGUUGUGUAGGCAAUGCGUGAGGCAAAAUUAUGGAGAGGAAGUAAACAAAGGAGUAGAAGAAAAAGAAUGGAUAGAGAAUGUGUCUCUUCGACGUGUCAAGAACCAUUUUAUAUGUAAGCAAAAAAAAAAACAUUUCAUUUUGCUCUUCAUUUCAUGAUCUGUCUGAAAUUCAGGCCCCGAACGAACCGCUACACAAGAUAACAAAACGGUUAUAGAUAUGGAAAGACACCUCCAUUCAAAGAUUGGAGGGAAAGCACUCCUUAAAGAGGAGGCAAAUGGUGAUGGUGAUGAGCCCGAUGAAUCCACCGGUAAAUGAACAAAAGAUAGACUCUUCGACAAAGAGAGAUAAUCAUGUAAAAGCAAUUCAGUUUCUGUAAAAAUCUUGAUGAAUCCAUCAAAAAUUUUCAGGAAAAUAGCCAAAAAGACCAAGAUCCCCCAUUGAUUAUUGGGCUGUGAAACUGGGCUGAAGUUAAAGGCAGAUGGGCUUAUCAAGCCCACUAGCAAAUUGUUUUGGCCCAACCCCGCGAGCGUGACAACAGUAGAGUGGCAUCGCCGGUGAAGAAGAUACGCAGCAGAAUGAGCACGACGGCCGGCGGAAAGACGGGUUGAGUCCAGUGAGGGGAGCAAAGCUGAUACCAUCCUCCAGUUCGAUGGAUACGAGCUAAAGCGAUGUGGAGGAGGUCGUCUGACGCUAAGGCUUUCUCGGUGAGAAAAGCGGAGCUGCAACGAGAGACCAUAGGUUUCAAGCGGCGAGUACGGCGGCGGAUCUGACUUGAGAAGCCCAUAUCCGUAGGAACAAACGCUGCUCACCCCAGCUAGAGGUAGAAACUCGCAGAUCUGAGAGUCAGCGAUGGUGAGGAGCGGCAAUGAUGAAGCACGGCGUUUGCAGUUGGUGAAAAACACGGCGGAUGAAGUGGAAUGGAGAGCCCCCCAAGAAGAUUCGGAUGCGGUGAAGCCCGGUCCGUAAAUGAAAGGCCAACCGCUUUGACUCUCGACGGAAAGCCUUCUCCGGAAAGAUCUGUCAACGAAAGCUUUGGCGGUGACUGAAACGACGAAAAAAUCUGAGGAAAUGAAAGAGAGACAAGGACGGGAGCAAGAGAGAGAGAGGAGCUCGACGCCGGCGUCAAGAAAUGGUGGUUUCAAGGACACCUCGAUUCUCGUGUCUGAGAGGAUUUUAGGGCGAAUUUUUUUUGGAAUAGGCACUUACUUAUACAGCCGUAUUUGAUGCGUAUUGGCGUUAAAAAUAUCUUCUACUUAUUUUCUAAUUCUUGCACGUUGACUGCCUCACUCAAGAUUGUGGUUCUUCAUUAUAGUAUAAUCAUAUGAUCAAAUAUAGUAAGGUGAUUAAAACCGUGUCCUAAGGCCGACGUGCAAGAAACUAAGCAAAAACGUGUAGCGGAUUACACGUGCCAGCUUAUAUUUCUAUACUUGUUUUCAAUUAAAAAUAGACGAAAAACCCGUUACAACGGUCAAACGCAAGGGUGGCAAAAAAAAUAAAAUCUAAAAUAGAGACAAAGCUAACGUUUGAUGGUGUAAGAGAAAGAGAAGAAAAGAGGAGGAGGAGGAGGAGGGUGAUGAUGAAGCUAUGGAAACGAGCUUCCGGUGCUCUCAAAGACCGGAAAAGCUUGUUCUCCAUCAGCUUCUCCCGGAGAGCCUCCGUCCGUAACCCUGACCUUGACUCAGCCAUCAUCCACGCAACCUCUCACGACGACUCAUCCGUCGACUACCACCAUGCUCACCGUGUCUACAAAUGGAUCCGCUCCUCUCCAGCAAACCUCAAGCCUCUUGUCCACUCGCUUUCCUCACGUGUUAACCGGACAAG